rnacentral:rRNA from 1 species
GACGAACGCUGGCGGCGUGCCUAAUACAUGCAAGUAGAACGCUGAAGAGAGGAGCUUUCUCUUCUUGGAUGAGUUGCUAACGGGUGAGUAACGCGUAGGUAACCUGCCUUUUAUCGGGGGAGAACUAUUGGAAACGAUAGCUAAUACCGCAUAACAAUGGAUGACACAUGUCAUUUAUUUGAAAGGGGCAAUUGCUCCACUACAAGAUGGACCUGCGUUGUAUUAGCUAGUAGGGGAGGAAAUGGCUCACUAAGGCGACGAUACAUAGCCGACCUGAGUGGAGGACCACCAACACGGGAAUGAGACCACGGUCAAGACCCUAACGGGAGCAGCAGUAGGGGAUCUUUGGAAAAGGGGGCAAAGCCGGACCCGCAAAGCCGGGGUAGGGAAGGAGGUCUUCGGAUUGUUAAAGCCUGUUGUAAGUCAAAGAAGGGUAGGAGAGUGAAACGUUGCCGCUGUGACGGUAGCUAAAGAAAAAGCACCGGCUAACUACGUG